GAGAAACAGAACGAAUUCUUUGGUCAUAUAUAUAUUAUAAAAAACAGAGUGUAAAAUUGUUCCAUUCACAGAUUGGUUUGUAGGAAACGACUUGAAAGCAAAGAUGCAUUUUUGGAUUGCUUUAACUCUUGUAGUUGGCUUCUGUAUGAUUAAUCAAAUAAAAGCUGAUUGUCCCCCUAACGCUAAAGCUGAUAUCGUAUUUCUGAUUGAUUCAUCAACUUCAAUGAUGGGAACACCAUUGGUCAUGUUAAGAACGUUUCUUCGCGAAAUGAUCGGUCAAUGGACGAUUUCAAGCCAAUUCGUCAAUGUUGCAAUUGUACCAUAUCAUACUGAGAUAGCAUUUGAUGACGUUAUUUUUCUUUCUCAAUUUGCAAACGAUAAAGACGGUCUGCUCGCAUCAUUGGAAGUGAUAACAAACAAUAGAUCAGGAUCUUUGACCGGAAACGCACUAGAAUAUGCGCGUACCGUUGUGUUGUCUGCUGAAAACGGAAAUCGACCAGAUGCGCCUGAUAUUGUUAUUGUUAUGACCGACGGACGAGGACAAGACUCCAUUGAUGUGCCAUUACAGAGGCUCUGGGCAGCUGGGGCAACCACGUACGCUGUUGGCUGUAAGCCAAAACGAAGAUUAUCAAUGUUGACUCCUCAAUUGAUGAAAAUAGCUCAGAAUAAUUCAGAAAGAAUGCAUUCGACAGAUCGAUCUUCAAUGGGAAAUAUUGAUGUGAUGAUGCGUGAUAUGAAGAAUGUGUAUUGCCCUCCGGACGAAACUUGCACGCCACCAAGAAGAAGCUUGAAAAAUGGAGUUGUAAGAUGCACUGAUGAAAAUCGAGUGUCAUCUGUCUGUACAUUUGAAUGUGAUGCUGGGUACACUGUUUAUCCUAGAAAACGUGCAACAAACAGAUGCCUACCUUCAAAAAAUUGGGAUCGACAGGCACCUUGUUGUACAAAACCUUGUCCUCCUAAUGCAAAAAUGGAUGCAUUUAUAAUACUUGAUUCAUCCUCAUCGGUUGGCGAGAAGAAUUGGAGUAUAAUAAAGAGCUUUAUUCACAACAUUAUUAGGUCUUUUAUAAUUUCUGACGAUGCUACACAUUUUGCCGUUGUUCGCUACAGCAGUUUUGUCGACAAUACAACACAGGUUCUGUUGAAUGAUUAUCCAAAUGAUAUAGACGGACUUUUGUCGGCAUUUGACGCCAUACCAUAUGAUGGUUCUGGCAGGAAGACAGGCCAAGCGAUUCAGCACGUUGUAGAUAAUAUGGUUCCGGUCGGUAAUCGACCUGAUGUGCAGGAUAUUGCUUUUGUCGUCACAGGUGGAAAAUCACAAGACAAUGUACUGGAACAGUCUAAACAACUAAGAGAUCUGGGAGCAUUGGUCUUUGUCAUCGGCUUUACUCCAUUAAAAGGUAAACUUGAUAUGGAACAACUUCUGGAAAUAGCUGGAGAUCCAGACAAUGUCCUAAUUCCUGAUGAGGCAUUUUUCGGUUGGGAGAUCACAGAUAAAGUGUGCGGACACCCAUGCGGUGACUGAAAUGAACCAAUGAACCUUUCUCAGAACAAUAAUGGUUAGAGAUCGCAACUGGUUCAGUUCUGAUAUGAAUUUAUAUGGACGGAAGCCUUAGGACUCUUACGAUCGAUCCCAAACCAACACCAUUAGGCAGGAAAUACCAGCAUAUAUAUUAUUCAUUCCACACUUUCGUCAUCCCUGUCCAUCGCAAUAUUCGCUUCUCUGGUAUUAUCUCGGUCAUUUCGUUUGCUUUCCAUUUUCUCCCGACUUUCUUUUUUGACCGUUUACGCUACCCUGCGAUAUACUGCUGCUCUUCGAGAUCUCAUCGAAUUCCCUUUUGGUGCACAUUCUCUGCCCUUUGUACUCUGUCCUCCCCUGAUAACUAAUAAUAUGUAUCAUUGAGUCAGUUAAUGUAUGAAUUUUUCAAAAUCCAAGUACCUUCUAAUUCAGUCUGAUAUAAAUCUUCUUCUCAAUAUUUACUUCAAUUAAUGCUACUUUACUUAUAAUAAUCAAAGUAUAAUAAAAUACUCCAAUUAAAAUCAAUAGAAAAAAAGGUAAAAAUGAAAUAAAAAUAAUAAAUACCACGUAUCACAAUGUAAGAAACAAUAUAUACAAUGAAACUUGUACUUGAAAUCUGAAGCCAAGCAUAAAAUCGCAUGCAACUCGCAAAUAUCGGACAAUAACUCUAAAAUCCGGUACAUUAUAAUUAACAAACUGAUCAAUUAUCUGCAAACUGAGCUGAAAACAGCUCAAUGCGAGAUUUGGAACACACAAUAAACAGUCCUCUAGAUCAGCGUUUCCCAAACUUUUUGACCACGGAACACUUACGCUUUUUAUCUCGCCUCGCGGAACACCAAAAAAUGAAAGGGUAAAAAUGGUGCAAUUCAGCGGUUCCCAAAGGGUGUGCCGCGACGCACUAAAGUCGUCAAAUGCACUGCGAAAACUAACAAAAUUGUGUUAAAUAUAACUAAAAUAUGAAUGUUUUACAUAUUGCAAAUGCUCUGUAUAUGAAUCAAUAUACCGGUAUUCAUUUUUCCUUUCUAUGUCGUUCACUUUCUAUUACAUAAUGCCUUUGAUGUUACGUAAAAAGGGAGAUAGAAGUUCUUGCUGCAAUUUCGCGAGCUGCAGACCUGCAGUUUAUUUAUCUGCUGAAUCAAGUUUAGCGAACAUGAGUAAAUUUUUCAGCAUUUCAAAGUAAAAUCAGGCAGAGAUGGGGGGGCGAAGAGCUGAUCAUUUACCUUUACAUGUUUGCCUAUAGCAUUGGUUCACAAACUUGGGUCCGCGGUCGCUUAAGGCACCGCGAGACAACUUUAACCUCGGCGCAGAAGCACUUUGAUUUGAAGUAAAAUUUUGAAAACAAAAACCACAGUCUUAUCCUGAUGUCGCUGAGUAGGGACUGAAAAUGAUCAUUCCAUUUGCAACAACUUACGAAUGUGAGGCAGCUUUUUCUUCAUUACUCGCUAUUGAAACAGAAUGGACGUGAGUUACGAUAUGAAAGUUGCAUUAUCCAAAACAGAACCCAAGAUAGCAGAACUGGAGCCAAGCAAGAGCACCCAUCUCAUUGAACUGUGUCAAUGUCAUUCAAUAUAUUAAUGCUUGAUAUACCGCGUUGCUGUUUGCUUCCAUUUCUUUAGUGGACGCGAGUCAUCAGAAAAAUUGUACGGCGGCGGUUAUGCAUGACUUUUUAAAAAGUUUGAGAAACACUGGCCUAUAGUAAAUAGCAAAACCAAAAUGAUUAGUGUCAACUUGAUAAUGAACUAGAACUAGACAGUAAACAAGCUAGGCGGACCGUUAACGAUAAUAUCAUAAUACCCCUCGAAAAGUUAGGCCGACGGUGACGCGAUAUUGAACGGUCGCCAACUUCGCGAUCGCGAUGGCGACCAAUCUAGUCGUAAUUUUGAUCCAUUUUCCACGGAACAGUCGGAAGACGCUCACGGAACACUAGUGUUCCGCGGAACACAGUUUGGGAAAUGCUGCUCUAGAAAGCACUGACCAUAACUAAUUUCGUAGUAAAACCUAGACUAAACCACAUGUAGCCUACACCUAAACUUAAAACAACUGUAAUCUAACUAUACUCUGUCAUCCUGAUGACUUACAACAAAAUAUCUAAGCCUAUUAUCAUAAACUCAUGACCAUAAAAUAUAAACACACUUGGUCCCCUACGAAAUUAAGCAACAAUUUUACAGAUAUGAAAGAUUUCUCGGAAGAAAAAAUGACCAUUGAAUCACAAUAUAUAUAUCUAACUUUUGGAAACGAACAACAAGCAAAUACGGUAAAAAGAUGGAAGAGUCAUGAAAGCGAGCCAAGGUGCCAAUGCCUGAUAUUACGCUUAAGCAAAUGUGUCUGAAGGGCUGCUAAAAUUUGAAUUAUUACGCCCUCACCCAUUGACAAAUAGGUCUUGAAGUGAUGGUAUAUAGUUUUCGCUGCCAGUAUAUUUUCAAACAAGAUACAUAAAUAUGAUGAUAAUCAGGAAAAUAAGUCUGCUUUCGUCAAAAAACCCAAUAUAAUGCAACUUGUGUAAUCACAGGUUUUUCACAAAUUUGACGGAGUCGUAGAUCAUUGAACUAGGCUACUUUAUUAUUAUUAUUAUUCAUAUUUAAAUGAUUUAUUUCAGUUUUAUAUUAGAAGUCAAAUAUACAUUACUGUGAUCUUUUUCAGUUCUGUAGGGUUUUGUGUUCUGCAAAUGCAUUACCUUACAUAGGCGUGCAACAUACGCCCUCGGUCCCUUUUUACGUGGCCCGCUACAGACUUCAUAGCCUAUUAAUUUAAAAACUUUUUCUGAAUUGUAACGGCAUCAUUGGCAUUCGAUUGAAUUCAGUCUACAGUACUGUGACGACCCCCAUUGUUGCAGCAUAAUAUGUAUUGUAUGAAAACCGCCUUGUUCUGGCAGUGGUACGUGAUCUUACUUUAUGGUUGCAGGUUAUUAUACGAAAAAGCCUAAGUUCAAAUGUCUACCAGUAAGAAAAGGAAAGUUGAUUAUCUCAUUAAUCAUCAACACAAUGAAUAAAUUGAUUGUACGUGCUCUUCCAUUGAAUAAAUUAUUCAUAAAAAAUUACGAGUUGUUCGAUGGUCUGCCCCCCCGGUAUCACUAUACUUGUAGUUUGUGGCCUAUUGCGCUAAUAAACACUUGCAUGCCCCUGCAUUACAACAAUGACAUUAAACAACAAACAGCGAUUACUCAGGAAACCUUUUUUGUUAUUGUGUCGAAUCUGGCAACGGGUAUUGCCGCUUCUGUGACGCGCGAUUUUCAAACGAUCGGUAUUUGUCAUAACAUUCAGUGAUUCUGACAUUGAUUCAACUCUUUCGAAGCUAAUCUAGAGCAAGUGGAAGUAGGCUAUAGCGACAUUGUGCCAUUAAUAUAUAACCAUGAGCUCGACGGCGGCAGAUUUUAUAUUUUAGAAAGAUUGGAAAGACUGAAUGCCUAUUUAAUAUCGAAAGGACUUCCUCC